rnacentral:rRNA from 1 species
UCAAUAGCGUAUAUUAAAGUUGUUGCAGUUAAAAAGCUCGUAGUUGAAUUUCGGGGUUAGUAGGUUGGUCAUGCCUCUGGUAUGUACUGGUCUCACUGAUUCCUCCUUCCUGAUGAGCCGUAAUGCCAUUAAUUUGGUGUUGCGGGGAAUUUGGACUGUUACUUUGAAAAAAUUAGAGUGUUUAAAGCAAGCUAACGCUUGAAUACAUUAGCAUGGAAUAAUGAAAUAGGACGUUCGAUCCUAUUUUGUUGGUUUCUAGGAUUGACGUAAUGAUUAAUAGGGAUAGUUUGGGGCAUUAGUAUUCAAUUGUCAGAUGUGCAAUUCUUGGAUUUAUUUAAGACUAACUACUGCGAAUGCAUGUGCCAAGUAUUUUUUCAUUAAUCAAGAACGAAAGUUAGGGGAUCGAAGACGAUCAGAUACCGUCGUAGUCUUAACCAUAAACUAUGCCGACUAGGGAACGGAUGAUGUUAAUUUUUUAAUGACUCAUUCUGCGCCUUACG